rnacentral:sRNA from 14 species
CGCAGAAAAAGCUAAUUGUGUUUGAAUCUGUUUGAUCACAGGAUCGUAGGCAAUCAGGGAUUUUAUCUUACUUUCUGUGUGUGUGUGUGUGUGUGUGUGUGUGUGUGUGUGUGUGUGAACCUCAGGAGCUCUGACGGUCGAUGCUGAUUUCUUAUUUUUAUUUCCGGGGACUUUCCGAGCGAACGUGCAGAACCUGAAGAUCUGCUUAAGAUCCUGCGA